rnacentral:rRNA from 1 species
AUUGAACGCUGGCGGCAGGCCUAACACAUGCAAGUCGAACGAGUGGCGGACGGGUGAGUAAUGUCUGGGAAACUGCCUGAUGGAGGGGGAUAACUACUGGAAACGGUAGCUAAUACCGCAUACCAUCGGAUGUGCCCAGAUGGGAUUAGCUAGUAGGUGGGGUAAAGGCUCACCUAGGCGACGAUCCCUAGCUGGGAUGAGAGGAUGACCAGCCAACCUGGAACUGAGACACGGUCCAGACGCAUACGUGAGGCAGCAGUGGGGAAUAUUGCACAAUGGGCGCAAUCCGGAUACAGCCAUGCCGCGGGUAUGAAGAAGGCCUUCGGGUUGUAAAGUACUUGCAGCGGGGAGGCGUUACCCGCAGAAGAAGCACCGGCUAACUCCGUGCCAGCAGCCGCGGUAAUAC